CCCUUAGAUGUCCGGGGCCGCACGCGCGCUACACUGAAGGAAUCAGCGUGGCUUUCUCCCUGACCCGAAAGGGUUGGGAAACCCGUUGAAUCUCCUUCGUGAUAGGGAUUGGGGCUUGAAAUUGUUCCCCAUGAACGAGGAAUUCCCAGUAAGCGCGAGUCAUAAGCUCGCGUUGAUUACGUCCCUGCCCUUUGUACACACCGCCCGUCGCUACUACCGAUUGAACGGUUUAGUGAGGGCCUCGGAUUGGUCUCGGCCCGCUCUUACCGGGCGGCGCCGUUGGUCGAGAAGACGCUCGAACUUGAUCGUUUAGAGGAAGUAAAAGUCGUAACA
rnacentral:rRNA from 1 species